rnacentral:rRNA from 1 species
GAUGAACGCUGGCGGUGUGCCUAAUACAUGCAAGUCGAACGGGCUCUUCGGAGCUAGUGGCGGACGGGUGAGUAACACGUUGGUACCUACCCCUAAGUGGGGAAGUAACUGCCCGAACGGGUAGGCUAAUACCGCAUAAUCCCGCAAGGGUAAAGCAGUAAUGCGCUUAGGGAGGGGCCGUGCGUCUGAUUAGCUAGUUGGUAGUGUAAUGGACUACCAAGGCGACGAUCAGUAGCUGGAUCGAGAGGUUGACCAGCCACACUGGGACUGAGAUACGGCCCAGACUCCUACGGGAGGCAGCAGUAAGGAAUCUUCCACAAUGGACGAAAGUCUGAUGGAGCAACACCGCGUGCAGGA